rnacentral:sRNA from 1 species
UUUAAAAUAAAUAAAUAAAUAAAUAAAUAAAUAAAUAAAUAAAACCAUGAACAUCACCUAGGUUAACUUCCAGCCUCCAUACACAAACACAUACACCCAACCCCCCCACCCAUAACGACAAACAAACCUAGGAAAUUUAAGUGAAGUUAACACAUUUUUGGUGAAAAUGAUGAAACAGAGUAAUAUUUUGGUAUAUGACACAUACUACAAAGAUUACAAGAGGUCCUACCUGCUUGGUGGAAUUAGAACACGGUUGGGCUGUCUUGACUACAGGUCUGUGGCAACAUCAGCUUUUCCUGUGCUGUUGGCUGUGACUAAGACUGUUCACACUACAUCAUUAAGUAAAAUACUGCCUAUAGCAAUGUUCCUCUAAGAGAAAAUAAUUUGCUUUUAAGAUCUGUCCUCAAACAUGUUUUCAAGGAAAUGUAGAGAGGAAAAAGGAAGGCAGCCAAAUCAGAUGGAGCACAUUGCAUGAUGAAAAGGCACACAGACUCUCUAUGUGCACACCACUAAAUUAGAGAGGGGUCUAAUGUAGCUCAAUUGACAGCAUUUUUCCCAUUCUUGAUUCAAAUAACUCUAGAAUACAUCUAAUUUUAAAUAUGAGUCUGUAGACUGAUACAAUUCAAAGAAAACUCUGCCUUUAAGGGUUUAUAAUCUAGUGGGAGGAAACACUUAACACCAAAAUACAAAGUUUGGGGAUUGGUUUGGUUUGCUCUGUUUAUUUUUUCGAAGCAGGAUCUUGUUAUGGUGGCCUUGGCGGGCUUAGAAUUCAUCAUGAAGACUAGGCUGGCCUCAAACUGGCAUCAAUUUUUCUGUUUUGUCUACCACAUGCUAGGACCCCAUGUAUAUGCCACUAUACUGAGCUAAACGACAACUCUUAAUAAAAUAAACAUGAAGGUAUAAAGUGACAAAAUGGCUAAGAAGAAGGUUAAAGAACGUAAGAAUGGGUACUAGGAGUUCAGUGUGGUGGCAUGAGCCUUUAAAGCAGGACUCAGGAGACAGAGGCAGGCAGAUCUCUGAGUUUGAAGCCAGUCUGGUCUACAGAGCAAGUUCCCGGUCACCCAGGGCUACACAGAGAAACCCUGUGUAGGGGAAUAAAAAGAACAGGUACUAGGAAGUAGGAAUGAGGAAACCAUACAGGUUGGUUUGGUUUGGUUGGGGGUAGAGGGUUAGAGGGAGGAGAGUGUUUGAGACAAACCACAGGAGUUAGCUCUCUGCUUGCACAGCCAAAGCACCUUAACUCUCCAGCACUCAUAUAUAAAGCUGGUAGCCCAAGAUGAGUGACAGCCUGGCUAAACCAGCUAGCCCUGGGUUCAGGGAGAGUUUAUGCCUUAGCAAUGAAGUAGAGAGUAACUGAGAGAAUCACCUCUGGCUCAGCCAUAUGCACACCAAAUGCAUACAAGCCCACAACUCAUACAGACAUAAAGAAAUAAGCCAGGAACAACAAAGCAGAAAGUAAAUGAUACUUCAACAAGGCAAAGGUAGGGGGAAAAUGAUGACUGGUGAAAGGUUUUGGUUGGGUUACUCUCCUGAGAACCAGCAAUAACUAGUUCUAGUUACUGUAAGGCAAGUGCCUCACGAUAACAAUCCAUGGAGAAAAAGGGCCAUCUAACUUGCCGUAACUCUCUCUCCUCUGCACUCCUGUGGUAGUUUAAAAUUAAAUUCACAAUUUGUAAAACCUUUGAGAUUUUGGUUUUCAGGUAUGUGUGUUUUGUCUGCACGUGUAUCUUCUGUACACCAUGUGCAUGCAGCAAUGCCUUCAGGGGCCAGAACAGGGCACCGUAUCCUCUGGAACACUGGGGUUACAGACAGUUAGUACCCACCAUGUGGAUACUGAGAAUUGAACCUGGGACCCCUGGAAGAAGAGCUGGUGAAACCAUCUCCCAAACCUCUCACAAACUUUUUGAUGCUGCUCUUUUCAAGAGCUGUCACUCACUCCCUGGAGGCAGGCUCUAAUUAAUGACCUGAUUCCAACUAGUACAAUACAGUAGAAGAGAUGAUGCUUACCAGGCAUACUAGCACAGCCAUUUAAUCCCAGCACUCAGGAGGCA